AGAAUGAAAUCAGGUUUAUUUGACAAGACUUAUUUUCCAUAAAAUCAUAUUGACUGGAAUUAAUUAUAUGCCUGUCCUUUAAUUCUUUAUCAAUUAAAUCUCGUAUCAGCUUUUCCAUUAUUUUAUCUAAGAUUGACAUAAGGC